rnacentral:rRNA from 1 species
GAUGAACGCUGGCGGCGUGCCUAAUACAUGCAAGUCGAGCGAACGGACGAGAAGCUUGCUUCUCUGAUGUUAGCGGCGGACGGGUGAGUAACACGUGGCUAACCUACCUAUAAGACUGGGAUAACUUCGGGAAACCGGAGCUAAUACCGGAUAAUAUUUUGAACCGCAUGGUUCAAAAGUGAUAGCCGGUCUUGCUGUCACUUAUAGAUGUAUCCUCGCUGCAUUAGCUAGUUGGUAAGGUAACGGCUUACCAAGGCAACGAUGCAUAGCCGACCUGAGAGGGUGAUCGGCCACACUGGAACUGAGACACGGUCCAGACUCCUACGGGAGGCAGCAGUAGGGAAUCUUCCGCAAUGGGCGAAAGCCUGACGGAGCAACGCCGCGUGAGUGAUGAAGGUCUUCGGAUCGUAAAACUCUGUUAUUAGGGAAGAACAUAUGUGUAAGUAACUGUGCACAUCUUGACGGUACCUAAUCAGAAAGCCACGGCUAACUACGUG